rnacentral:tRNA from 1 species
GCUGAUGUGGCGGAAUGGCAGACGCCGGAGACUUAAAAUCUCCUGUCCAUUGGGGCGUGCGGGUUCGAAUCCCGCCAUCAGCA